rnacentral:tRNA from 1 species
GCCUGGAUGGCUCAGUUGGUUGAGCGUCCGACUUCGGCUCAGGUCAUGAUCUCAGAGUUUGUGGGUUUGAACCCCGCGUCGGGCU